rnacentral:lncRNA from 1 species
CUCUGGCCUCGCGAGGGGAGCCGCGCCGCGCCCUCGCCCCCUGGCCAGCACGGGAGACAGGAAGUUUUAUUUGCAGCUCGGAGCCCGUGGCGGAUGGUGGGACUCUCCAACCCUGUGCAGUGUAAGCGGGCGGGCGCGGGCGGCGGGGACGGGUGCCCGCGGGAGGGAGGCGGGGACGGGCUGGGGCUGUUACUGUUAAUUACUGUGCCGAUGACCGUCAUCUUCGCGUGGACCGUUCGACCAAGAGGCUCCAGGCCGUGCUUGUCGCUCAGCUAGAGCAGACCGCGCGCCUGGGCAAAGGAGCGGCGCGGUGACUCCGUUCUGCGGUGACACUCAACUUCGCGGGUCGGCCGAGGAUGCGAUUUUUACUAUUACAUCUCUCCCACUGCCUUUGAAAAAUAUUUUUUCUUUCCUCUCCAUGAUCGCCUCAUGUGAGCAGGAAAAGAAGCAUGUUGCCCCACACCCCGACAAAACAGCUGGUCAAGGCGCCCACGGUGUGUUUGGCAGGUGGCCCUAGACCAGCGUCGUGGUGCUUUUUAACUGGAAGCGAAAAAGUUGCUUUUGACGGUGGAAAACUUAGCCCUAGGAGCGAGCGAGGCGGAAUCCUAACUUGGCCCUAGCCUGCUGCCACUAGGGUGAGAGUGCUCAUCGAGCUGCCCGAGAACUUUUCCGUCACCCCUGGGCAUUUGGAGUGCCCGAGUGCGAAGCCCCUGGACAAACGGUGGGCAGCUGCUCUCGGAGUGCCGGCCGGCCGCGCCCGCCUGGGACAAGUCUCGGGCUCCGCAGCCCGGGACCCCGGGGUAGCUUCGCCCCUGCGGGAGCUCCGUGAGCCCCGGGCUCCGCCGCCUUGGCCCCCUCACUGUCUGCGUCGCCGCCCCGGCCGUCGGCCUCUCCUGGGCGGAGAGCAGAAGCCCAGACGGAAGCCGCGUCCGAGAAUUCCUUUCGUUUUGCAGAAAUCCCUCUGGUGAAGCCCCGCACCCGGCCGCUCUGCGACCCCCGGGUACCCGAAAGGGACUGGAUGAUGGGCACAUCCGGACCCCUCUGGGGCGGACCGGCGCUGAGCCCGGUGCUUUCAGCCAAGACGUUUAUGUCAGAAGAAGGCGUUUAAAUCCGUUUUUUGGGAAACUUUUUUGUUUUGUUAUUUGGGCCUUUCAGUUGGGAGGAUUUGGCUGAAAUGUCCUGCAGCCUUGGUCUCCCUUAUUCCUUGCACAGCGUAGAGGAGAAAUCUUUUUCGAGUUUAGUUUUUCUUCAAGAUU